rnacentral:misc_RNA from 1 species
AAGUCGUAACAAGGUUUCCGUAGGUGAACCUGCGGAAGGAUCAUUAUAGAAAAUUAUAUACACAUGGUUGAGCACAUGACUUUAAGCAAACAACAAUCAAAUAUAGAAAUUAAAACUUUCAACAACGGAUCUCUUGGUUCUC